AAACUCACCACCACAAAAUAAAAACAGGCCACGCUGUGAUGUUCUUCUCGUAUCACUUUAGAUUUACGACCAAAGACCCUUCGACCGAUCCAUAAAAAUGUAUUUUAGAAACAAAACUUAAAAAAGAAAUCUUUUUCAGCUACUCUCAUUCCUUCUUCAUUCGACUCCCGCGUGAAAGUUUGGGACUCACACAUCUAAAAGCAAAAAGGAAAACUUCUGGCGACAUCUAAUGGUCCCUGCACCUUCUUCCGAUGCAAAUGCUGUGUUUCAUGUUGUUCGGUUGUAGGUUGCUAUGGGCUCGUUCUCUUCGGUAUUGCGACUUCUGUGGUUGUAGGUUGUUAUAGUCGUAGUAGUACUACUAGCGCCGCCAGCCUCUGCAAACAGCCGUGAGUGUUCUUGGAAUGGGUUGGUCAUUUUUCGUUCGAAUUAUAAAAAAAACACUGUCUGAGUAAGACGUGUCACGCGAGUCGGGCGUGCUGCUGUGUUUUUAUAAGUGGCCUGAUUCUCUCCUACCCUUUCGUAAACGGGUUUUUUGUCUCAAUCUUUCUUAAUCUAGCGUUAUAUGUAAGAUCUACACGAAUACAUUGAACGAAACGCAAUACUACGGCCUGUGUUAGCUGGAAUCGGAUGUCUUGUGUUGACGCAGCCAGCAGUCUUCAUCAAAAAGAAACUCAAAGUUAUUGGCUAUGUACUGGUUAUGAACACCAUACAGUCGGAGAGAAUCCUACUACGUUAUUCUUGAUUCCGAUUACCACCAUCCCUGAAUUUGUUUCUCAAAUGGGCUAAGCACAACGUGUCCGAUAUUCGCUUUAUCUUCUAAGAAUUAAUUCAAUUAACUUUUCAACCACAACACAAUUAUUUUCUGUAUUCGUUUGUUUUCAUACGUACCUGAUAAAAUUUCUGCGCUGCUAGGAGUAUCAUGAAAUACGAAAGCUUAUUAUUUUCGGGAAUAUAGCUACAAUGCAA